GACGAACGCUGGCGGCGUGCUUAACACAUGCAAGUCGAACGGAGAUUAUUAAUGAAGCUUGCGAUUUAAUAAUCUUAGUGGCGGACGGGUGAGUAACGCGUGGGCAACCUACCCAUAAGAGGGGGAUAACAGCUGGAAACGGCUGCUAAUACCGCAUAAACUUUUUAAGACACAUGUUUUAGAAAGGAAAGGUGGCGCAAGCUAUCGCUUAUGGAUGGGCCCGCGUCUGAUUAGCUAGUUGGUGGGGUAACGGCCUACCAAGGCAACGAUCAGUAGCCGGCCUGAGAGGGUGGACGGCCACACUGGGACUGAGACACGGCCCAGACUCCUACGGGAGGCAGGCAGUGGGGAAUAUUGCGCAAUGGGGGAAACCCUGACGCAGCGACGCCGCGUGAGCGAAGAAGGCCUUAGGGUUGUAAAGCUCUGUUCUAUGGGACGAAGUCCUUGACUGUGAAUAAUGGUCAAGGUUGACGGUACCAUAGGAGGAAGCCCCGGUAACUACGUGCCAGCAGCCGAC
rnacentral:rRNA from 1 species